rfam:Otolemur garnettii contig045627, whole genome shotgun sequence.
AUCCCCCAGGGAUCUUGUUAAACUGCAGGUUCUGAUGCAGUAGGGCUGAAGUGGGGCCCAAGAUUCUGCAUUUCUAACAAGCUCCCAAGUGGUGCAGG